rnacentral:rRNA from 1 species
CCCUUAGAUGUUCUGGGCCGCACGCGCGCUACACUGAUGCAUUCAACGAGUCUAAAACCUGCUCUGAUAGGGGUGGGUAAUCUUUUGAAUGUGCAUCGUGAUUGGGAUAGAUGAUUGCAAUUUUACAUCUUCAACGAGGAAUGCCUAGUAAACGCAAGUCAUCAGCUUGCAUUGAUUACGUCCCUGCCCUUUGUACACACCGCCCGUCGCUCCUACCGAUUGAAUGAUCCGAUGAAUAUCAUGGAUUGAGGAUUAUAGCAGGUUCGCCUGUCUUGAUCUUCGAGAAGUGAAGUAAAUCUUAUCAUUUAGAGGAAGGAGAAGUCGUAACA